rnacentral:rRNA from 1 species
UACCAGCACCCCGAGUGGUCGGGACGUUUAUUGGGCCUAAAGCAUCCGUAGCCGGUUCUACAAGUCUUCCGUUAAAUCCAACUGCUUAACAGGUGGGCUGCGGAAGAUACUAUAGAGCUAGGAGGCGGGAGAGGCAAGCGGUACUCGAUGGGUAGGGGUAAAAUCCGUUGAUCCAUUGAAGACCACCAGUGGCGAAGGCGGCUUGCCAGAAUGCGCUCGACGGUGAGGGAUGAAAGCUGGGGAGCAACCGG